GAAGCCAGCGUGUGCUGCAGAAGCCGGCGUGACGUCUGCAGACUGGAUCUGUGCGCAGGAGCUGGUCUUACUGCAGCAGCUCCAGCAGCUGAAGAACCGGCAGAUCAUUCAUCCUGUGCUUCAGCAAGUUGGGCUGAAACUGAAUCUUCUGGAUCCCGCGGCACCCAUAGACCUGCAUAUCUGGGCGUUGCUCUGCC